AUUAAAUCUCGUUCUUUAUAAUUCGAUUUGGAAUCAACGUGUGUUAUUGAAACUUCCGCCCCCAACAGGGCUCUUCCUUGCCUUCUUAAUUUGUUGACACAAAAUUACAAGAACGUGGUCAACAAGGCCACUUGUUGGAUCAUUUCACAGGUCAUUCAACGGACUAAGGAUAAUAUUUAGGUAUGCAACAAUUUUUCUUUUUAUUGUAUUAAACAUCAAGACUAAAUUUUUUCACUUGCCAUCUAUCACAAAUUUUAUCUCGUAGUAGUACUCCAGUUUCGCUGAAUUUGACAAUUGUACUUCUUUUUCUAAUUGGUAAGUUGAAGUCUUCCCUUUAUCUCUUAAAAUGAUGGAUGCUAAGGAUAUGCCAUCUUAAUACACAGGCUGUGAUUGAGGCUGGUAUUAUUUCGCCUCUUGUCCAUAUGCUUCAGAAUGCUAAAUUUGAGUUACAGAAUGCAGUUGCUUGGGCUAUUUUUAAUGCCACGAUGGAGGGAACUAAUGAGAAAAUCAAGUAAAUUCUUCACAGCUCAAUAUUGCCAUGUUCUUGUAGCUUAUUGUUUAUUUAGAUUCAGUAUUAAUGCUAUAUCUUGGUGGUAGGUUCUUGGUGGGUAAGGGGUGUAUAAAGAGGUUGUGCGAUCUUCUAGUUAGUCCCAACGAAGCGAAUAUCAUCAAAUACUGCUUGGGAGGCCUUGAGAACAUUCUGAAGGUUGGAGAAGCUGAGAAAAACCAAGGCAACAACGAAGAUAUGAAGGUUUUGCUCAGAUGAUUGAUGAUACUGGGGGUCUUCAGAAGAUUAAGAACCUCCAGAGUUAUGACAACAGUAAAAUAUGUGGAAUAGCCGUGAAACUACUGGAAAACAUAUUGGCAUCAAGAGGAUGAUAAUAAUGAGGACUCUGACGAUUAUGAUAUGGAGGAGGAGGAGGACUGAGGAUGAGGAUCAUAAUGAUGAUGAAGACGAUAAAUACUCUAAUUCAAAACCAAACAACCUAUCAUGACUUUUAGCUGCCUUUUGGUGAAGCUCCACAAUCUGGGCUUGCUUAUUAUACAAUAAUUAAUCAUUUCCUUUGUUUUCUACCAAAAAAAUUAAGGCAUAUUUGGUAUAAACAAAUGGAUUGGAGCAGACAACACAAAGGAUAAGAGUUUGAACCUUUUUUUUCCCAUUGUAGUCAACCAUCAAGGGCAUGGUCUUCAAGUGAGCCAUCGAGGAGAAACGUGCAAGCUGAAAUAUGAAAAUAUAUAACAAUUUUUUUUGGGGGGAUGAGUUUGGAUCAAUAAAAUAAGAAACUCCAAAAUGGUAAAAUCAUAUCUAGUAAAGUACUAAUGUGCUAAGUGGUCUGUAUAAGAAACUAGUGGACCAACUUCUUAUUUAAAACAAUGGAUUUACAUUGAAUGGUCUCUGUGAUUUUCUAGUUUUUUUGACACCUUGGUUU
rnacentral:lncRNA from 1 species